CCCACUCUCACCAAAUAAUGUGCCUGCUCUCACUUCACCUUCCCCCCCAUGAAUAAAAGCUCCCUAAGGCUUCACAGAAGCCAAGCAGAUGCCAGCGUUGUGCUGCAGGCAUCCAUGUCUUGAUCCUAAUCUUAGACAAAAAUCUUUUAGUCUUUCAUCCUUAUGUUGGUUUUCAUUUUUCAAAUAUGUUUUUCAUUAUGUC
rnacentral:lncRNA from 1 species